rnacentral:rRNA from 1 species
AGUAGAACGCAGAGGAUUGGUGCUUGCACUAAUCUAAUGAGUUGCGAACGGGUGAGUAACGCGUAGGUAACCUGCCUGGUAGCGGGGGAUAACUAUUGGAAACGAUAGCUAAUACCGCAUAAAAUGGAUUAUCGCAUGAUAAUGCAUUGAAAGGUGCAAAUGCAUCACUACCAGAUGGACCUGCGUUGUAUUAGCUAGUUGGUGGGGUAACGGCUCACCAAGGCGACGAUACAUAGCCGACCUGAGAGGGUGAUCGGCCACACUGGGACUGAGACACGGCCCAGACUCCUACGGGAGGCAGCAGUAGGGAAUCUUCGGCAAUGGACGGAAGUCUGACCGAGCAACGCCGCGUGAGUGAAGAAGGUUUUCGGAUCGUAAAGCUCUGUUGUAAGAGAAGAACGAGUGUGAGAGUGGAAAGUUCACACUGUGACGGUAUCUUACCAGAAAGGGACGGCUAACUACGUGCCAGCAGCCGCGGUAAUACGUAGGUCCCGAGCGUUGUCCGGAUUUAUUGGGCGUAAAGCGAGCGCAGGCGGUUAGAUAAGUCUGAAGUUAAAGGCUGUGGCUUAACCAUAGUACGCUUUGGAAACUGUUUAACUUGAGUGCAAGAGGGGAGAGUGGAAUUCCAUGUGUAGCGGUGAAAUGCGUAGAUAUAUGGAGGAACACCGGUGGCGAAAGCGGCUCUCUGGCUUGUAACUGACGCUGAGGCUC